AAUGUAUUAAAUUGAUUUUUAAAAGUUAUCUUAUAAUUUGUAAGAGAGAAAGUCCUAUUAUUUUUCUGUAGGAGUAUGACUAAUCAUACUAUUUUUUUCCCUCUCUCUCUCUCUCAUAAUAACCUUCACGUUUUAAUUAUCAGUUUUUUUAUUAUUAUUAUUUUGAUUCUAAUCGUAUUUUGUUUAAAAUAUAUAGGAAUCAAUCCAGACAGUACGAGCUAUUGCGUUGAAGAUAUACUCAAGUCAUUCCCUAAUUUCAAAAUUGUACUUAAUUGCAAAACCAAUUCUGCUGGAGAUGUUGUACUCUUUGAGAUCUUUACCUGCGUUCAUUUAAAUGGAAGUUACACCGAUUGCCCGGGAAGCCAACUGAUAAAUUGUGGCACCACUAAGGCGGGAAUCAAGUUUAUUAAAUGAAUAAUAUAUAUAUAUAUAUAUAUAUGUGUGUGUGUGUGUGUGUGUGUGUGUGUCUUAUGAUGGACUGUUGGAGUAUGUAACUGUAUCAUUUCUGCCAAAAGCGAAGGCCCGUGAGGUCCUAGGUUUGUAUUAAAUAAAACGUACAUGCUUGAUAUGUUGAAAUAAAUGCACUCUAAUAGUGAGAUCCGGUUAGCAUGAAGUGAACUUCAUGGUAAAUUCACUUUAUGCUGAUCAAUACAGUGCUGACACACAUGCGAGAAGUUGAUCUCUUCAUCUGCGUGUCAGCACUGUAUUGAUCAUGAAGUGAACUUACCAUGAAGUUCACUUCAUGCUAACCACUCCCCUAAUAGUGUGUUGACAAUGUAAUCUUUGGACUAGGAUAUUUUUCAUUUCAAAUAAAAUCUCGUUUUGUUGUUUUGAUUGUUUGGUUUCCGUUUUAUAAUUUAAGUAAGCACACAAGAUAUAGUUUCAUGAUAUAUUAUAAUGCUUUUUUGUUGGAAUUGACUAAUUUGGCUUUCAUGUCACACAAGAUAUAGUUUCACCGUAUCUUGUGGUAUUUGACUUGUAUUUAACUCAAAUCUCUCCAAGAAAAUUUCCAAAAACCUUUCAUUUACUCUAUUGAACAAAUUUGCACAAAAAAUUUCUUAAUGUUGUGAUUCUUGCACAAAUCUAGCCAAAUAACGAUGAUAAUUCCCCUUCAUAUUCAAAUAAAAACCUUAGAGCUCUCUACCGAUGCUGAAGGAAUGAGCCACGAGUCGAGGAGCUUGAGAAUUCUCCCAGAUUCUCAAAAGCUCCAUCCCAAAUCUUCGAUUCGUAGGUAGUCCCUUAGGCUAUGUUUGUUUGUAAAAAAAGUAUACUUGAAAAUGAACUAUUGUCAUAAUUUAAUACUACUUUGGACUAUUUUAUCUCAUGAUGGAGGAUUAAUAGUCUUUUAAAUAGUUUUAUAGAGUAUUUUUUUUUGUCAUUUCUAAGGCUAUAUAUGAUGUACUAUAUAAUCCCAUGAUGAAUGUGUGAUUAAUAGCCCUUCAUUUUAAGUUGUCAAAUGUCUUUUAUGAGACUAACAGUCUCACAUUAAGAGACUAAUAGUCCCUUUUGAAAGGAUUAAAUAAUUAGAAGUGAUGUUAAAUUAAGAUAAAUCAAUUGUAAGUAUAUUUUUUAUAAACAAACAUGACCCCUAGAGAAUAAACAACAUUUGAAAAUGGGUACUUAUAUUUUAUGGGCGGGGCUCAAGAAUCAUGAACAAGAUCCACGCGCAAUAAAGAUUCCUAAACUUUAUUGGAUCUCAUCUUUUUUCUUCUUUGAAUAAUUGGAAUAUAAUUAUCCUUUGCAAACAAUUACCGCAUCAUUCUUACUUGGUUUUGGUCUAGAGAGAAAGAUGGGAGGAGAGAGAAAGUGGCCAAAUCGUAUUUUUAUAUUGACAAAAUGUAUUAAAAAUCGGUGUAUGUGACAAUUUCUAACAAAAAUUAGGUCAAAAUAUCGAGUUAAGUGUGUAAUGUAACUAAAUCGAACUAGAGAGUUCAUAUUGGGAGGAUAUUGAUAAUUUGCGGACUCAAUUAUCAAACGGGUAGAACUUUAAGUGACUGAACUGCUAUUAACCCUAUUUGGAAAUACUAAUUUACCUCAUAUAAUUCUGACAUUUUCUUUUCUUAUAUUUGGAAAUACUAAUUUACCCUUAUUUUAUUUUAUUUUCAUUUCUUUCCUUUUUUGUUUUUUGCUAAUUUGACACACACUACCACACACAUCUAAGGAUUGAACCCCGAAACUCAUGAUAAACAUGGGUCGGGUCAUACCACUAGGCCUAAGGCCUUCGGUAACAAUAAGAGUUUUUCACCAAACGAAAUUAAAUGGAAAGACAAAUUGGCAUAGUCGAUGCAUUUUUAAUUGGGUCUUUAACACUAAUAUACAAUAAUUAAAAAGUAAUUACACUAUUAGUGCAUCCACAAAAUAAUUAUAAAAAUAACGCAAUUCACAAUUAAUAAUUCAAAUUCAAAUAUCUGAGAUCUAACAACAAAAAUAAAUUCAAAUUCAAAAUAAUAAUUCAAAUUCAAAUAUUCAAAUCAAAUCUUCAUCUCCCUCACAGUAGCUCACUCCUCCGCUACUCCGCCGCGAAUCUCCUUCUUCACAGGUUGCCCUCUCCUCCGCUACUCCGUCGCGAAUCUAUGUUGUCCAAAACGCCAAUGAGAAGAAGAAGAAGAUUCGCCCUACAAAAAGUUUAAAAAUAAAUAGAUGUAACUCUUACUGUUCAGAAUUUUUUUUUAUGACUAUUUGGUUACCCACAAAAACUAAAAUGGUUACCUUUGUAUGAAUGGGUAGCUACCAACUGCAUCACAUUCAAACUAAAUUAAAUUAAAUUGGUAACUUAAUAAAACUGAAUUGGUUACCUUAGUUUGAAGGUUUGACAACAUCAUCUUCCUCAUCCUCCUUCACCGGUGAGACAAAGUGAGAGUCAACCACAAAAUGGUCGAUCGGAUGGAGAUAGAAGGUGGAUAUUUGAUUUUUCACAAUUUCUUCAUGUCCAAAAAUUUUAAUUCCAAUUUCAAGUCCAAAGGAAAAUAAGAACAUUGCAUAGCUAGGAAAUAGAGAGAUAGAGAGUGAUGUGUAAUGUAAUGUUGAUAAUCAAACCUUCGUACCAAUGUAACCAAACUUUUAUAUCAAGGUAACCAAACCUUUAUACCAAGGUAACCAAUCUAUCUCCACACCUGCAGUAUGAAUUGGUUACCUUGGUCUGAAAGUUUGGCAACCAACCGCAUGAAGGUUUGGCUACCAACUGCAUCACAUUCAAAAUAAAUUGGUAACUUAAUAAAAUUGAAUUGGUUACCUUGGUAUGAAGGUUUGUCUACCCACUGCAUGAAGGUUUGGCUACCAACUGCUUCAUGUUAGUUCCUAGUAGACACACAAUAGAUCUAGAAGGGUAGGUUGAGUAGAUCCUUUUUGAUUUUCAAAUACUUUUCCAGUUUAUUUUUAUUGCUAAUGAAUUAACAUAUGACAAACACAAGAAUCUUUUCAAACACAGCAUAAUAAGUAAAUGAUCCCCUUCAUUGAUAUAUUCAUGAACAUAUAUACAUUGUUCAUAGAGUUAGUUAAGUUAUAAGCAGUUAAAACAUACAUCACAUUUAUAACAGUUAGGUACAUAAUGGAAAUGACAGAAUGUAAAAGACACAAGGGAUUUUAAAUGGUUCAGAGACUCAAGCUCCUAAUCCACUCUUCUGCUUCAACGAGCAGGAAUUCCACUAAGGAAGGGCAACACCUUAAAUAACUAAGAUUCCUUCAAGGCCAGCAGCCUUAGAACUUCAGUUCACUAAGAACUCUUCAAGCUCUGCAGGCUUGGAAAUUCAUUUAGUCCCUCCGGACAAGGACCCCUCAGGCCCUGGCUACUUUUUGUUGUUGGUGUUGUUGUUGGUGGUGCUAAGCUGCUAAGAUGUCUUUAAGCUUGAACAUAUUUUGUAUUUAGCAGCUUGGUGUGGUCCUCUUUUCAUUCUGCUUAGAGUCUGGACCAUUUCUUCUUAGGUGCAGCUGAUCUUCAUUCUGUUCUACUCGUCUUAAUCCGAUAUCAGCUGUGCACCCUCACUAUUUAGGUUUGCUAAGUGUUUUAAGCUUUUGGUAGACUUCGUCUGUCACUUAGAAAUCCCUGAACCCUUCUUGAAUAAUUUGCAGACAUGCAUGGUUCUGCAUCUGUUCUGUUUCAGCUUUUGGUUCCUUGUGAUUUGUAGAGUGGCUCUUUGAUUCUUUUUGCUCUGCCACUUUUCUGAAUGCUAUCUUAUUGGCCUUCUCGGCUCUCAGCUUAGCUGCCAUCUUCAAUGGCAUUCUCAUCCUAGUUGAGUGAAGCUUUAGUCUUUUCAAGUCCUUCUUCAAAUCUGCUUCACUUCCACCUUCGUAGUCUCACUGCUUUUGGUGGAACUUGUAGAGUCAACAGUAUAGCAUUCUAACAACUCAACGAUCCUUCAACUCAGCAACUCUUCGGCAUUUGAAGCUCUGGCUUAUUUAUAUACUCCUUCCCAAUCUUCCUGUUGAAAUAUAGCCAUUGAAAGUUAUUUGAAUUGCUUCGCAGAUCUCGAGUUAUUUGAUGUAAAUUGCAGAUGUGACAUGACAUCCCUUUUUUCAUCUUUCUGACACUACAGUCUACUAUUUCACAUACAUCGUCAGAGAUGUCACUUUGGUGCCUCGAGCAGGUAGUCAUCUUUAUUUCUUCUUUCUGACUUCUCGAUUAGAACAUCAAAGACUGUCCUUUUGCAUCGAUGCUCUCAACUAGCACUCUUCAGAUAUCGGUCUUCAGAUUGACCGAACUCUACGAUUCUGAUUUAUAUGUUCUUGGACAUGAUCGUAAUGUGUCUUGUUGAAUGUUACAUAAUGACUGAUUGAGACAACACUACGAUCCUGAAGAGUGUUAAUUGGAUCUUCAAGGUAGAACACCCCUUCCUUAAUUUGUGUAGUGCUUCAACACUUCUAUUUUCCUUUGACUGAUAGUAGGAACUGAUAGUUUGAAUCCUUGUUCUGGUCUCUUCUGAACAGCAGAACACCUCAGAUUUGUGGCAUGCCCAUCUCGCUUUGCUCCCAGGACUCAAAGUAUAUAACAAUUAUUCCAAUACCCCCCUCCACCAGGUCUUAAUAUAUAUAUAUAUAUAUAUAUAUAUAUAUAUAUAUAUAUAUAUAUAUAUAUAUAUAUACACACAAUCGUUUUGAAACUAAAUUAUGAAAUAAAAUUUAUUAUUUUAUAAUUUUUAAUAAAUCAUCUCAAUAUUAAAUUUUAAAAUGUAUUAAAUUGAUUUUUAAAAGUUAUCUUAGAAUUUGUAAGAGAGAAAGUCCUAUUAUUUUUCUGUAGGAGUAUGACUAAUCAUACUAUUUUUUUUCUCUUUCUCUCUCUCUCAUAAUAACCUUCACGUUUUAAUUAUCAGUUCUUUUUUUAUUAUUUUGAUUCUAAUCGUAUUUUGUUUAAAAUAUAUAGGAAUCAAUCCAGACAGUACGAGCUAUUGCGUUCAAGAUAUACUCAAGUCAUUCCCUAAUUACAAAAUUGAACUUAAUUGCAAAACCAAUUCAGCUGGAGAUGUUGUACUCUAUGAGAUCUUUACCUGCGUUCAUUUAAAUGGAAGUUACACCGAUUGCCCGGGAAACCAACUGAUAAAUUGUGGCACCACUAAGGCGGGAAUCAAGUUUAUUAGAUGAAUAAUAUAUAUAUAUAUGUCUCUGUGUGUGUCUGUGUGAGGUCCUAGGUUUGUAAUAAAUAAAACGUACAUGCAUGAUAUGUUGAAAUAAAUGCACACUAAUAGUGUGUUGACAAUGUAAUCUUUGGACUAGGAU
rnacentral:lncRNA from 1 species